rnacentral:misc_RNA from 1 species
GGUACAUAAAAUAUUGCAAAUCAAAUUUGAGGGGAUGUUUCUGAAUUAUACUUUAUAACACUACCUCUCUUAAAAAUCAUCAAAAUCUAACCAGCUUCUGUGACGAGUAUCAAAAAUGAAGCUGUAAUGCAAACUUAUACUCAGAAUACAUUUUUACUGGUAUCAUGGGCAUCAAUUAAAGAGAUUAGUUUGCUACCUAGAUUUUCGUCGGGUGUCUCUCCUGCAAAUUGAAAGGGGAAUAUGCUACACUGACAUUCCAUGGAAAACCACAUCUCAACUAUUUGAUUGGUAGCCAAAGCCAUCGAGAUGACAUCAAAAUUUACAACGAUCAUGACACAUCCACGUUCAAUUUAUGCCAGCAAAGAUCCAACACGAACAAGUCAAUGCACUAGGAAAGUCAGUGAGAGAUCUCAUUUUUGCUGAUCCAAGUCAAUUGAACUCAACUUGGAUUAGUCACUUUCGACUUGUUAUUGCAAGUUUCUCCUGAAAAAAUCAGACAACUUGGAAGUGGCAGCACGUCCCCUCUCCAAACAGCGUAUGUAGUCGUCAACCGACAUUACACCAUGC